AUAUUAAAAAUUAUUUAUAAAUGUUAAAUUUUUUUGAGCAGAGCUAAUUGUGCUUGGCGAUCAAGUAAAGUUUAAUUACGUAAAAACAAUUAAAGUACUAGUACAAUUAAAGUAUUAUUCAGGGCGAUCAAUUUUGUCUCACAUUAAAACUUUUUUUUGUGGCUGGAAUAUAUUGAUAACAAGUAUUUAUUUAGGGGGUCCAUUUGUCCUAUGCGACAUUCAAAAAGUACAAUUACAAUAUAAUUAUAUGCAAAUUGGGUUAUUUUUAAAUGAAGUAUAAAAGUUAAGAGUAGUAUUGUAAUGUUAGAUUAAGUGAAAGUUCUUUUAUAAUCUUACUAAAUCUAGUAUUUACUGGAUAAAAUUGAAUAACAUUCACUAUAGAAUACGUGAAAAUAGUUACCACUGUAUUUUAUUUCCAAUGCGUCAUGAUUCAUGAAAUGAAAAAAAAAAUUUUUUGUUACUUUUUUGUAACGAACAUGAUAAGUCACGUACAUUAAAUUAAAAUAACAAAUUUGUUGAUUUUCCUUAACAAAUACAGUGGAAAAAUUGUUCACAUGUGACUCAUUAAUGAGGUGUCCUCUAAAUUCCCCUAAAAUUUAAAUUUGAUGAAAACAAUGACAAUGAUUACAAUAGACAUGGUCAACGGAUGUAUCUAUAUUUAUAUUCUCCUACAGGAUAUAUAAAAUAAUAAAUAAUAUUGAGAUAAUGAGAAUAAUAAAUUUAACAAUGUCUAAAUAUGAUAAAAUCAUUGAGAUUAAAUGGUUUGUUGGGACAAUAAUCAUUUAAUCAAAGUAAUAAUAAUUAAAAAUAGACAAUAAUAUGGAAUAAAACAUUUUUUUUUUAUUUAAAUGUAUGCAUACAAAAUUAUUAUUUCUGUCCUUGAUGCAGAAACCGCAAGUAUGUUAAUUUAAGACGUUGACUGUGAAAGGUCUCUCGAUGGUUUAUAUUUGUUGUAUAUAUGAAGUUUAUAUGCAACAACAAUUUCCUGAGAUUCAUCAUCUUUACAUUCUUGCCUUAACAUUUUAUUAACAAUCAAAUUAAGUCGACGAGACUCAGUUUUUCUCUUGACAACG